UACUGCCAGAAGGAUGUUCAGAAGUUUCUUAUCAGAGGAUUGCACCCGAAGGCCCGUGUGAGCAGCCCUCCAGUACAGCCUUCCUCCAGUGCCCAGGCUGCUGCCAAAUGCUCCCCCAGUGUUGCUGCCACCAUGAUUUUGCUGGGAAGGACACUUUGUGCUUCCUCUUUUAAAUUCUGCUUUGUCCUGUGCAUGGAGAGUAACCCUGGCUCACUGUCUUCCCCAUCUGAAUUGUGCUCACAACUGUUCAAUGAGUCACCUAGAGCAUGCUUAAAGCGUGUUGCUUGUCUUGCUGUGAUGCAGUCUGUUAUUACACUAAAGGUUUUCUAAAUGGAGUUAUGCAGUGUGUGAGGCCAACUGAGGGCCUCUCUACAUUAGGUAUUUAGCCCAGCACUUUACUGAGGCUUCUGCAUCCAGAAUUUUUUCAGGAUUAAGAUGGGCCCAUUCUCUCUCCACCUUUCUGUAUAUUCAGUUACACAACCACAAGGGGGUAGCACAGUACAGCAGAACUGCAAAAAUAUACCUGCUCCUCAUUCCAGUUCAUUCUGCCAAUUCUGGAUCAUACUGCAUUUACCUUGCUCUAAUAAAGCCACAAAAAAUAAAGCUUUGAGAGCGUGGGAGAGGCCCUGGAGGAUGCUGGUGUCAUAAAAAGCACCUGCCAAGCACCACGAAUGAGGACUCCUGAGUGCACAAAUAAAUGCCUUGUGUGGAGAAAGCCUGACUUUCUCAGCAAGCAUAGCUCUGUUAUUGCUUUUAUCACUUUCCUUGUUCUGAACGCUGCUCCAAACACACUUCCCUCUUUGGCACCAUCUCAUGACCCCCUUGCUUCCUAAGCCCCUUCAUCUUACUUGUCCGUCAUGGGCUAAAUGCUCAAGCUGAUGGCAGUCAAGGAGGUCUGCGUGCAGUAGAGUGUGAUGGGCUGGGAGCUGCAAGCAAACAUAUGACACUUCCCUUCAUGUCUCCCUCUCAUGCAAACACAUCUGAACAGCAUGUGAAGAUGUUUCACACUCCCGUCCACCUUUUUCUCCAUUUACGCCUACUAACAGGAGAUGUUGCAGGUCCAUCCACUGUUUUAGCAGACCUUUUACACCCUUGGUUAGUAAUACAAAGAGCUAAUUAAAUCCACAUGUCUCCUCUUCAACAGAAAGGCCAGAGGGAAGGACCCUGAGUGGGGAAUGCAAACUGGGAAUGAGGAUCAGCAGAAGAUAGUAUAUGGAAGCUUAUUUUAAGCCACCUUUCUCCUGCUCUGAAAGAAGGACUGGAAAUAUUUCAGAUCUCUUUAUUUAGUACAUGUCUGCACAGAUCGCUGUGUGCUUAAAAAGAAAGAAAAGAAAAAAGAAACCAUCUUUGUUUGCUCACAAAAUGCUUUCACCAAGUUCUGGCUAUGCAAAUCGACAUGGAAAAUGUGAAACGACGUGAUUUUUAUUUUUAUGCUAAAGAGCAAAGGAGCAAAUGGUGGUAAGCCAGAAGAGAUGGGUAAAGGAAAUGGAAAGUCCGGUAUUUAAAACCACCACAAAUCUGUUUAUGGAAGAUCUACCUUCGGGAAUAAUGUAGCGGGAGAUGCCCUGCCUUGAUGCCAGCUGGACUUGUCGCCUUUUGAAUGCCCUCCCAGCUCUAUCAGGCUGUUAAUGUUGCUGCUGUCUACUGUGGGAUAAAGCCUCUCCAGCCCCAUGAAAAUGCUACACAGAGGACAUGUUUGCAUUUCACACCAACCCAACGUGGCCAUAAAUCACAGUGGACUGGUUUUUGUGCAAACCACAGUGCACUGGGCAUAUGAGUGAGCUCAUCAUGGGUUGUUUGCCAACCCUCUUGUCCUUCCCCUCAUUCCACCUCAAUCCUCCUACAGAGAUCCCACAGCUGGACCAAUCUGCCUGCUUCCCAGCAACUGCUAUCAUAGAUUUCUUUGCUUCCACCAUGGUUUUUUUGCUCCUUUUCCUCUCCCCUCCCUUUUUCAGAGAUUGCAAAAAGAAUCUCCAGUCUGACAGCUAAUCACAAUCUCUUCAAAGAGCAUGAAUGCUUAUGUCCCUGUGAAAAAAACAUGGGGCACCUUUAAAAAAUUCUUUAGAAUGGGGUUGCACUUUAGUUCCAAAAGAGCUUUGGCUAGUGGGCAGUAUAGAAAUAUUAUUAUCUCAUAAAAAGGUGGAAAAGUAAGGUGGAAAAGUAAGCUGGCCUCAGAGCCUGAUCCAAACAAACAAACAAAACCCAUGAGGAACGUGUUGUGAAGGGGUGAUCUAGCAGGUACCACUUUUUUAUGAGCAAAGAUCAUACGCAGGUUUGGUUUCUCUUGAUAACUCACCUUUUGACAGCUGUCAAAAGAAACCAAAGUGAAAAAUAAAGCUCUUGACAGCCUCUCUGGGUCAAUGCCCAUGAGGGUGCCAGCUGCACUUAAACAACACCCUCCAUCUGCACAUUGCCCAUGAAAUUUAGUUUUUGGAUCCAAAAAUGUCUGCAAGUGUUUAUUUACACAAGUCCGACUAAUUAAAAAAAUAAUAAAUCUAUACCUUUGAGAUGCAAAACUUUUUUUUAAAGAAAAGUGUUGAUGAACCAUUGACAGACCCUUCAAUGCACUGCUUCAGUGUUUUGAAGAGGCUGUCAUGAACUGCUUUUCACUAAAAGCUUUUCACUAAGAAGAGUUUAGAAAAGCUUUACAUAAACAAACUGACUAGCUAACUGCUGGAGAAAAGAAAAGAAAAAGGGUGAAGGGAGCAAAAAGUCACAGCAAACACAUACAAUCAUGGUAGGAAUUAUUAACAGACCCAAUUAAAGAAAAUUAGGUGCUUGGGCACUUGUCAAAUUUAGUAAGAGUAGUAAGGUGUUCCCACCACCUCCAAGAAGCUCACUUGAUGUUUCUCAGUAUCCAUGAUGGAGUCAGUUGCCUAAGUUUAGAUGCCAUGACAAUCCAUCAUGGGUAACAUAACUCCUAAAACAAGCCAUGGGUUGUCAGGGUGGGUUAGUGCCCACAGCAAGACACCCUGCAGGAAAUGGUCUGAAUUUUCAUGACAUAACCAACCUUAGCUUGUUACCUGUGAUAAGUUGUUGUCUCCUGUGAACACAGUCAAGGGGCAGGUUUGCCUGACAUGCUAACCCACCCUGGCAAUAUGCCUAAGUCAGCUAUCUGCCUACAAAACAACCCAUGGUAAGCUUGCCAGUCAAGGCUUUCUCCCAGCCACGAUUGUGAGCUGUUUCAGACUUGCUGUGGCUUUUUUGCUUUUUAUCCCAUUUUUCCCAGAGGGAAGAAAUGGCUGGCAAACUGACUUUCCCAAUCCCUAUUUUGACAACUACAAGCAGUCCCCUCAAAGUACUCUGUGGUUGUCCAUCCUUUAAAAAAAAGAAAAAAGAAAGAAUAUGCAAAAAUUAUUUUGUAAAAAAGCUCCUCUAGCCACAGUUAUGCAACUGUGAACAAUCAUAAUUUCACAACUGCCAGGUUUUGAAAAAUUGGUUGAGGGGAGGGGGUAGUCUGCUAACCUUAGACAUUUCCCAGAAGAGGCUUAAAAACAUCCCCUCCCCUGCCACCCUGCAGCUUGUCAGAAGGUGAACUGUCAAGAAAACCCAAGGGUGCAAAUUAUCUUUAGCUGUGAAAGGGUGGUUUUGGGGGGAUUUAAGCCACCUUCACAGCAAUUUCCUCAAAUCCCCACAUCCACAAUUUAGUUCUCAGCAGGGCGCACAUGUCGCACUUGUUCCUGAAUUGCUAGGCGCUCUGAAAAGUGUAAAUGUGCAUUCCUCUUCAUUUCAAAGGAAAAGGGGCUUGGGUAGCUUUAAAAGCUAGUUGUCAAUACAACUAUGGAAACUGGGAGUUUUGAACUGGAACAUGCAGAAAAGUAUGCAAGAACAGAAUGGCUCAUUAUUGCAGCAAGGAGGUGGAAAGGCGAUGCCCGCUUCUGGCAUUUGGUGCUCAUCCAAGAGCCCAUGGCAAGAGCAGCAAGGGUAUGUUGCUGCUCAUGCCAUGGGUUUUUUCCUAGGUGAUCAUGGGCUGUUAGAUUGACUUGUUGCUCAUGCGUAAGCCAGCCCAGGGAAACCAAUCUAGAUUUUCACAUGGCAUGACAAUCCAUCAUGCAUAAUGAUGCCCAGUCAUCACACCUCACCUUUGGAAUUCUCUUUAUCUUGCUUUCGACACCAAGUCAAGACUUUGUUUAUUUAGUAUCUAUUUUUAGAUUGGAUUGUUGGUUUGCUCCUGGUUUAUUGUUUUACUGUUUUAUUGGUUAUUGUUAUUGGUCAUAUUGUGUUUAUUUUCCUCCUGUUUCCUAUUUAUAUGGUUGCAUUUAUAAUGUAUUUUAAUUUUACUAUGUUUAUGGUUCUGUUUUUAUUGCUAUUAAUUUAUCUGUAUUUUAAAUAUAUUUAUAUUGCACACUGUGAACCUCCCAGAGAGCCUUUGACUAUGGGGUGGCAUACGAAUGUGAUAAAUAAAUAUCCAUGAUGGGUUUUGUGUCUUGUCAUGCAGACCCAGUCAGAGAGUCAGCAGAACCUACUGAAUGGGGUGAUCUGUGGAAUGGUAGGGUGGAAGAGGAUUCCCAAAUACUGGGCAGAAGAACCUGCAGUUAACAGAGCCUUCCUCUCACAAAAGGCCCUUUUAGGAUACAGUCCUAGAUCCCCAUUGUACCUGGAUUUCAUUGACUCAUGAAGAACUGAAUUAGCUCUGGCAUCAGUGUUGUAUAAUGAAAUAUAUAGAAAGGAAAGCCCCUGGAAAAAAUAAUGUGAAGGACCUUCUAAUCCUCCCACAAAGGAAGAGGAAGCCCCACUAAAGCAACAGCCUUCAUCUUUGUUCUUUGCUACAGUGUCUAAGAAAAUAAAGAAGAAGGGGAAAAGGAACCAGUGUGAUAGAUGAUUCUACUACCCUGUUGGCAUUCAGUAUGACUCAGAGAUGGUGAAGAAGAUGGUCUCUGGGAGGAAUUGUCAUGAGCAAAAUGAAUCAGAUUCCUGCUCUUGCAUUUUGCUUGAAGAAAGACUGUGUCCAUCUGCUACAGCCAAGAAUCCUGUGACGUCUUUAAUUGGACAGUUGUCUUCAUUCACCUGUCUUUAAGGGCUCUGCUGUGCCAGUUUGGCAAAGAAGUCACUUUGAAUGGCUUUUUCAGACAUCAGACUCCUCUGUGAAACAGCCGAGAUACAGUUCAUCAAGAGGCUUAACUCGAUCUCCUGUAGCUUGAAUAUGGACAGAGUGGUGUGUGUGUGUGUUUAUCUCACACAAAGUUCAAAAAUGUCUGUGUUAUAUCACCCAAUACUGUAAAGAGCCACUGUAAAAAGGUGACUGACAGUAUGUUCUGCAUUUUAAUUUCCUCUGACCUCACUCUUUACAAAUCCCCAGCCCCAAUCAUUUGUGUGCGUGUGUGUGUGCUUGUAUACACCCAGAACUCAGAAUAACACACCAUGCAUCUGAUAAAGUGGGCUGUGGUGGAUGAAAGCACAUGGAAUAAUACAUUAUUAGUCUUUAAAAUGCUACCGUUGUUGUUGUUGUUGUAGGCUAGAAUUGAGGCUAAAACAUUAUUUGAUAGCAGACUGAUUAUUAUAUUAUAUAUUAUAGACAAGAAAACAAAAUCAAAAUAUUAAAUAUUAUACUUAACCAGCUUUUCAGCCAAGACCGAGUUGCAGAGUGAAAGUAUUCAAACAGGGCAGUAUUUAUGUAGGAGCAGCUUUUUCCUGAAAAGAAAAUGGGUAGAAGUAGCUGCAAGUGGACUUUGGGGCUGCCUGGAGACAAAGAUCACAUGUUGGAAGGGGCAUUUGUUCUUGCCUCCACAAGCAUUUACUGUGUGAAGUUGGGGCCUGUCUAUCACAAUUGUGUGGCUUGGAAUCACCCAGUGAAGUUGAUCAGGAGGAGACUAAUGGACAGACAAGAGGAAGUGCUUCCUCAGAUGACACCUAACCUUUUACUGAGGUGUGGAUGUCAUUCUCACAAAUAGCAACUACUUGAGAUAACGUUAAGAAAGGACUAUAUUAAAUUUAUGUAGGAUAGAACAGGUCUAUUAGUUAAAUAAUCAGAUCAACCUGAUGGAUCCAUCCUGAUCUAUUCUGGCCAUGAUUCAGGGGAUCUUAAGAUCUUUCUCAUUACCAGAAAUGCCAGGGAUCCAGGGCCAAUGCAAGCUCUCCCAUUGCCUGAUGGGGGAGAACAGAAAUGUGCCUAUGCAGCUUCCACACACCGCCCCCCACUGCCUUCCAUGCUGUGUCUCCAACCCCCACCCCAGUGAGGAGUCCCUCGCUGGUGGGUGGCAGGCAGGCAAUCUCCAGGAAUCGCCCUCUGCAAAACUACAUCAGUCACUUUUUUUGCCAACUAGGUUCUCCAGAGAAUGGGCUCAGCAUCCCACCCACCAGCUCACUCUGAAAGAAUCCACAGAGAUUGGCAAGGUGGCUUUCUGGAGCACCUGCUCUAGUGCCAACAAGGUGGCAGCUUCAGAGAGCCAUCCUGGCAAAUGCCAGAAGGAACACAGCAAGUGGGUGCAGGAGCAGGGAAACUCUCUCUAAAGAGAGUUCCCUGCAGCCCUCACCCUCCCAGGCACCCAACCCCCUGGUGGCACUUGUGCAUUGGAACCUUCUGACUGGACUCGCCAUUAUUCCAGCUCUGUCACCUGAGGUGGGUGAUUUGCCUCACUUCUUGCAUGGGCCAGAAUAUCCAAUUACUAGAUGCUGAAGUUGAACCAACAAGGGUGGCUUUUGCCAUUGUGUUCUACUUUUGCCCCUAGCGUCUGAUAAUGACAGGUAUACGACUCUAAAAUAUGAAAGUUCAAUUUAGCCAUCAUGGCUUAUGGCUGAUGGAUCUAUCCUCCAUGACAGCCAGUGUUGAGUUGCGGACCUGAGAGAUCCAGGUUCUCAUCCCCACUUGGCCAUGAAGCUCAAUGGGUGACUUUGGGCCAGUCAUGCACUCUCAGCCUAAACAACCUCACAGGAUAAAGAUUUGAUAAAAAAUAAAAUAACUGAUACAAUUAAAAUUGAUAAAAUAAUAAAAAUAAUGGAUAAAAUAAUGGAUGGGAAAGGAUAAAAGUGGGGAUUAAAAAAAGAGCAGAGAAGACACUUGUAACCUACCUUGGGUUCCUUGCACGAGGGAAAAAGGUUGGAUAUUAAUGCUAUUUAAUAAUAAUAAUAAUUCAACCCUUUCUGAAAAUUUUAUAUGCUACUCCCACUGUUAGCAACAUCACAACUUCUUAUAGCUUCCAGGGAUGCCUGGCUGUUGUAGACAGAAUACCAGAUGAAUCUUGGUCUGAUCCAGUGAGAACAGUUCUCAUGUUCUUGCGUUUCAAGUACACUAAAGCAGCCUUUCCUCUGUGAGGAAGUUCCCCAGGCAUCUUUUUCUUGGCAUCUUUCUGAGAAUCUUUCCUCAACAAGAAAAAAAUUGUGAUUGUUCAGUACCAUGGGGAGAAUAAAAUGUUUCCACUCAGACUAAAAGAAAUCAGGAUAAAAGGGGAAAGUGUAGGCAUCUCUUUAUUUUUACUGACAGAGAAAUUCAGUGGUGUGGGUGAAUUAUCCAUCCCCACCCACUUGCCUUAGCUAGCAGCCUACAACACAUCGCAACUGUUGAACGAUAAACGCUUGCUUGACACACAGAAGUUACAGAGCGGAUCUGGCUAGUAUCUUUCAAGAAAUUUCACAAUAUUCUCAGCAACCUCACUUUUCACCCCAAUGGAGCCUUCCUUGGGGUAGAAGGUGGAGGAAUUUUAAAAAUCUGCAUUUCGGGCAUCAGCCUAGUAGACAGAUUGAAUAACAAUUGCAUUCUUUCUCCUGAAAAAAAUGUGUGUGGUUUCUAUUCGUAAAGAUUAAAGAAUUUUGUGCAGUCCCA